rnacentral:lncRNA from 1 species
CGUUGAUAUCUUCGGCUCUUCGUAUUUAUUAUGUAGUUAGUCACCACUUCUGUGUUAUCAUUUAUAUCUAUCAUAUAGUCAGUUUUAUAAAUUAACUGUUUCCAAAGUAUGAAUUAUUUUAAAUAAUAAAGAUGUUCUUACUGGACAGAAAACCUUAGCAGUAUUAAGCACAACUUUUUGGAAUUUUAAGUCCUUAAUACUCUUUAACUUUCUACUUGUUUUGGCU